CAGCAGCCGCGGUAAUACGUAGGGUGCGAGCGUUAAUCGGAAUUACUGGGCGUAAAGCGUGCGCAGGCGGUUCGUUGUGUCGGCGGUGAAAGCCCCGGGCUCAACCUGGGAAUGGCCGUUGAAACUGGCGAACUGGAGUGUGGCAGAGGGGGGUGGAAUUCCGCGUGUAGCAGUGAAAUGCGUAGAGAUGCGGAGGAACACCGAUGGCGAAGGCAGCCCCCUGGGCUAACACUGACGCUCAGGCACGAAAGCGUGGGGAGCAAACAGGAUUAGAUACCCUGGUAGUCCACGCCCUAAACGAUGUCGACUGGGUGUUGGGGAAGCGAUUUCCCAGUACCGUAGCUAACGCGUGAAGUCGACCGCCUGGGGAGUACGGCCGCAAGGUUAAAACUCAAAGGAAUUGACGG
rnacentral:rRNA from 1 species